GAAUUUAGGUUAAAAAUUCUCAUUUCCUUCAAAAGGAAUCUGAUAUAAUGUUGCCCCAAUCCGCCCCGGAAAAAUAUUUUACCUAGUUAUAAGCCCAAAUCAAUCUCCACCAGACGGCCAUAGGCCCACUGGGCCCAGUUUCUCAGAAAGAGAGAAAAAAGUUUCACCCAAGCCCAACAUUAUGAUCAGCACACCCAGCUCUAACAAAAUUCUGAAAUUUUCAAUUAUAUUGCAUCCUAAAAAAGAAAAAAGGGAAAGUACAAGGAUAGAUGAACUUCUGCAUCACAUUACAAAUGUCCCACAAACGAGAUCACUACAUACAACCGGAUACGAGAAGGCGGUAGCCAUGGCAGCCAAAGGCCUUGACCAUCAAGCAACUGACGGCCACCACUUUGGACUACAGCAACCGGUCCCGAAAACUGUCUGUUUUGUCAAGUCUAGCCGUACCCGAGCUUGAUGAUUCGCCCAUUGCAUCUGGGGAAGCUGCUCUCUGGGAUGCAUCUUUCU
rnacentral:lncRNA from 1 species